rnacentral:rRNA from 1 species
UACGAGGGGGGGCAAGCGUUGUUCGGAAUUAUUGGGCGUAAAGGGUGCGUAGGCGGUUUGGUAAGUCUGAUGUGAAAAUCCCCCGGGCUUAACCUGGGAACUGCAUUUGUGACUGCAUGGCUGGAGUGCGGCAGAGGGGGGAUGGAAUUCCGCGUGUAGCAGUGAAAUGCGUAGAUAAUGCGGAGGAACACCGAUGGCGAAGGCAAUCCCCUGGGCCUG